rnacentral:ncRNA from 1 species
UGAUAGUUUGAUUCUUGCUUGUUUUAUCGUUUUAAGGUAAUUUUACAUGUAAGGUUUUCCGUGUUAGUUAUAUUUCUCUAAAUGAGUGAUUAUUUUUAUUCUCAGUAUUUAGUUUUGGUUUGUUAAUUAUAUUUAUAUCCAGUUAAUCUUGAUAGUUCUGACUAAUCUUGUGCCAGCAGUCGCGGUUAUACAUGAAUGGACAAAUGAUAAUUAUUGGUUUAUAUUAUUUAUGUUUUAUUUAAUUUAUAUUAUUUUUUGUUAGGUGAAAUUUUAAUUUAUAUUUGGGUUUUGGUUUAUAAUAAUAUGUGAAAGUGUUUUUAAGACUAGGAUUAGAUACCCUAUUAUUUGCACCUUAAAUUUUUAACCUUAGUAUUAAUAGUUAUGUUCUUUAAAUUAAAAGAAUUUGGCGGUAGCUUAAUCCUUCCAGAGGAACCUGUCCUGUAAUUGAUAAUCCACGAUAAAUUUUACUAUUUUUGUAGCUUGUAUAUCUCUGUCAUUGAAUGUCUUAUUAGGGUAUUUUCGGUAAUCUUUAUUGAGUAAAAUGUCAGGUCAAGGUGCAGCAAUAAAAUAGUAGAGAUGGGUUACAUUAAUUUUAUUUGUGAAUUUAUACUUGUAAAAGUAUAAUGAAAUUGGAUUUGGAAGUAAUUUUUAUUAUUUAGUAAUUUUGAAUUUGGCUCUAAGCUAUGUACAUAUCGCCCGUCACUCUCAUUAUUAAGAUGAGAUAAGUCGUAACAAAGUAGGCCUACCGGAAGGUGGGCCUGGUAAUAAUA